rnacentral:misc_RNA from 1 species
GUGAAUCAUCAAAUCUUUGAACGCAAAUUGCACUCUCUACGGAGAGUAGGCCUGUUUGAGGUUCAGCCUAAAAAAAAUCGACAUAGUCGCUGUUUCUCGGUGACGUGCGUCGGAAAUUGGUUCAUCUUAAACAUUUUGGUUUUAUGCGGCUUAAAAUUUUCUGUACGAUUCCACGAACGUUUCUAAGAUUUACUUACACGUUUAAGGUAUCGAUCUUUAUGAGACGUGGUCGUUGCAUCGGAUCACGUCCAUAAAUCUUUGUUUAACUGACCUCUCAC